rnacentral:rRNA from 1 species
ACCCGCGUGAACGAUGAAGGCUUCGGAUCGUAAAAUCUGUUGUUAGGGAAGAACAAGUGCGUCGAAUAGGGCGGCGCCUUGACGGUACCUAACCAGAAAGCCACGGCUAACUACGUGCCAGCAGCCGCGGUAAUACGUAGGUGGCAAGCGUUGUCCGGAAUUAUUGGGCGUAAAGCGCGCGCAGGUGGUUUCUUAAGUCUGAUGUGAAAGCCCACGGCUCAACCGUGGAGGGUCAUUGGAAACUGGGGAACUUGACUGCAGAAGAGGAAAGUGGAAUUCCAAGUGUAGCGGUGAAAUGCGUACAUAUUUGGAGGAACACCAGUGGCGAAGGCGACUUUCUGGUCUGUAACUGACACUGAGGCGCGAAAGCGUGGGGAGCAAACAGGAUUAGAUACCCUGGUAGUCCACGCCGUAAACGAUGAGUGCUAAGUGUUAGAGGGUUUCCGCCCUUUACUGCUGCAGCUAACGCAUUAAGCACUCCGCCUGGGGAGUACGGUCGCCAGACUGAAACUCAAAGGAAUUGACGGGGGCCCGCACAAGCGGUGGAGCU